rnacentral:rRNA from 1 species
UACAGAGGUCUCAAGCGUUGUUCGGAUUCAUUGGGCGUAAAGGGUGCGUAGGUGGGCAGGUAAGUCAGUGGUGAAAUCUCCGGGCUUAACCCGGAAACUGCCAUUGAUACUAUCUGUCUUGAAAUACCGUGGAGGUGAGCGGAAUAUGUCAUGUAGCGGUGAAAUGCUUAGAUAUGACAUAGAACACCAAUUGCGAAGGCAGCUCACUACGCGAAUAUUGACACUGAGGCACGAAAGCGUGGGGAUCAAACAGG